CUUAUGAUUAGUGGCUCACGGGUGAGUAAUAUAUAGGUAAUGUACCUCUUAGUCUGGGAUAGCCAUUGGAAACGAUGGGUAAUACCGCAUAAUAUUAAGAUUUGGGGACAAAUUUUAAUUAAAGAUUUAUUGCUCUAAGAUGAGUCUGCGGUCUAUCAGCUAGUUGGUGAGGUAAUGGCUCACCAAGGCUACGACGGAUAACCGACCUGAAAGGGUGACCGGUCACAUUGGAACUGAUACACGGUCCAAACUCC
rnacentral:rRNA from 1 species